GUGCUGGCGCAGCUACCAUGCAGUCGAGCGGUAACAGAUCCAGCUUGCUGGAUGCUGACGAGCGGCGGACGGGUGAGUAAUGCAUAGGAAUCUGCCCGAUAGUGGGGGAUAACCUGGGGAAACCCAGGCUAAUACCGCAUACGUCCUACGGGAGAAAGGGGGCUCCGGCUCCCGCUAUCGGAUGAGCCUAUGUCGGAUUAGCUAGUUGGUGAGGUAACGGCUCACCAAGGCGACGAUCCGUAGCUGGUCUGAGAGGAUGAUCAGCCACAUCGGGACUGAGACACGGCCCGAACUCCUACGGGAGGCAGCAGUGGGGAAUAUUGGACAAUGGGGGGAACCCUGAUCCAGCCAUGCCGCGUGUGUGAAGAAGGCCCUCGGGUUGUAAAGCACUUUCAGCGAGGAAGAACGCCUAGCGGUUAAUACCCGCUAGGAAAGACAUCACUCGCAGAAGAAGCACCGGCUAACUCCGUGCCAGCAGCCGCGGUAAUACGGAGGGUGCAAGCGUUAAUCG
rnacentral:rRNA from 1 species